rnacentral:rRNA from 1 species
CCUACGGGGGGCAGCAGUGGGGAAUUUUGGACAAUGGGGGCAACCCUGAUCCAGCCAUCCCGCGUGUGCGAUGAAGGCCUUCGGGUUGUAAAGCACUUUUGGCAGGGAAGAAACAGUCCGGGAUAAUACCCUGGGCGAAUGACGGUACCUGCAGAAUAAGCACCGGCUAACUACGUGCCAGCAGCCGCGGUAAUACGUAGGGGGCAAGCGUUAAGCGGAAUUACUGGGCGUAAAGCGGGCGCAAGGGUGUGAAAUCCCAGGGCUUAACCGUGGAACUGCACUUUUAACUACCGAGCUAGAGUACGUCAGAGGGGGGUAGAAUUCCACGUGUAGCAGUGAAAUGCGUAGAGAUGUGGAGGAAUACCGAUGGCGAAGGCAGCCCCCUGGGAUGAUACUGACGCUCAUGCACGAAAGCGUGGGGAGCAAACAGGAUUAGAUACCCUGGUAGUC